UACGUAGGGUGCGAGCGUUAAUCGGAAUUACUGGGCGUAAAGCGUGCGUAGUCGGUUAUCUAAGUCGGGUGUGAAAUCCCCGGGCUCAACCUGGGAAUUGCAUUCGAUACUGGAUAGCUAGAGUUCGGCAGAGGGAAGCGGAAUUUCCGGUGUAGCGGUGAAAUGCGUAGAUAUCGGAAGGAACAUCAGUGGCGAAAGCGGCUUCCUGGACCAGAACUGACGAUCAGGCACGAAAGCGUGGGGAGCAAACAGG
rnacentral:rRNA from 1 species